AUGCCAGGUUUAGUGAAUUCUGUUGAGAGGCGUGGAUUUAAGCAAGGAGAAAUGAAGGCAACGGUUUGGGGACGGUCGCUGGAACUGUUCGUGCUGACCCUUCACCCCAGACCAGCCAGUUGCACUAUUGAUUUACAAAACGCCAUUGUUUCUAUUACAGAUAUGUUUUUUAAUAUACCAAAACAACACCGUACAUUUCUGCUCUUUGGGAUCACAUGGGAUUUCACAAGGUUAGUAUCUGCCUUGAGAUCUUAGCCUCCAGAGUUAAAGUCUAAAGUUUUCAAAAGUUUUGGGAAACAACAAAAAAGUGAGUUCAGUGCCCCCCCCCCUUGCCAACUUUGCUUACUUUCCAUGAUGGUAAUAGUUUUCCUAUCUUGAAUUCGGCACUUGGGACAAUAAUUUAGUUACAUCAUUUUUCUUAUGGUCUGCAAUUUGACCUUAAAGCAAAAAAGUUCACCAGUUUCUGCCCAUAAAAUAUAUUUAUUUGCAUUUUAUUUUCGCAAACUUAAUAAGGGCAGGAUGUUUGGUACGACUUCCAUUUCAUAUUUAAUCAUUACACUUAAUAAACUUAUUUAUAUAACCUAAUUUAUACCUGGAGGAGGAAAUACAUUCUGUUGAUUUAAAUAUAAAUGGCCUCCCAGUGAGCAACACGUUCUCUAAACUGGUGGGUUCUUUUCACGGGAGAAAGAAGUCUAUUAAAAACGUUCAGCAUUGAAACCAAGAAGCUUAGCCUGCAGUUGGAAUUUCAAAUUCUCUAAAGAAACUUCAUUGAAAGGAAUAGAAUUAGAAGGGAAUUUGCCGCUGGGGUAGGAUGGGAGGCGGUUGCCAACAUUUCAAGAAUCUGACUGUCCAAAUUUUUUUUUUAAGAGGUGACAUUGCUUCUGGAACAUGGCCGUACAGCUCCAAAAACUCACAACAACCCGGUGAUUCCCGGCUGUAAAAGCCUUCGACAACACAUUUUAAAAGAGAUCUCUACGUUUUAAAUUCGAAAAAAAUAUAUGGAAAGGCAGGAUAAAUCGUCUAUUGGUCUUAACGAAGGACUGUUUUUCGGAAAUGGUUUAAUAAGGGACUUUCUAACACUUCAAAGCUGUAACCUUUUAAUGUUUAUAAAAUAUUUCUUACUAUUAAAACUGAAAGUCAAAUAUUGGUCUUGGGCUCUGAUUUCCUCGGGUCAUGAGACAAAUAUAAUAUGACAAAAUUCAAAGACAUAGCCAUAUUAAAUAUCAGUAUACAAAGGACCUUGGAGCGCCUUUGUGACUGAGUGAAAGAAAUUGGUAAUCAUCAUCAUCAUCAUCAUCAUCAUCAUCAUCAUCAUCUGGAGGUCUUACAUCUUAUGAAAUAGACUCAAGUCUAUGAAAGUAGAUGCCACCAACUUCUUUCUCUCAGUUUCAAAGGUGCUACAAGGUCCCUUACUACAUAAAAAAGGUAAAUGGGUAAAUAUUGUAACAGUUUGGCAGAAAAAGAUAUUUGUUUGUUUAUUUAUUUGCCAUUUUUAUAACCAGCCCUUCUCAUCCCGAAGGAGACUCAGAGCGGCUUACAAAACUAAGGCAAAAUUCAAUGCCACAUCACACACACAACAACAAUAAACAUACCAUAUUAAAUUACAAAACAGUUAAAACGUAUAAUACAGUAAAACAGAUUCUUGCUAGGUUAAUAAUGUCACAACUUAAAACCCACUUGAGUUCUAGCUUGCCCCCUAUUUUUGCUGUUACCAAUGGAUAUAAUUGAGAUGUAUUUUAAAAUGUCUGUCCCAGUGAAUUUUUGUACUUAAAAAGUUUUACUACAAUAAACACCACAGUUUUAAAGAGGUUAGGAUUCAGAUGUGUGUGUGUGUAAAUGUUUAUGUGCUUGUGAGUGUAUUGCGAGUGUAUGUGUAAAUGUUUAUGUGUUUGCGAGUGUACUCCUUUAAAGAGAGAAACAGGGCGUCACCUCCCGAACACAACAACAACCGCAACAAUAUUUGGUUGUUGUUAGUUUUCGGGCUGUAUCACAUCUAUGGCAGGCAUCCUCAGAGGUUGUGAGGUCUGUUGGAAACCAAGUGGGGUUUAUAUAUUUAGGUGCAAUAAUGUCCAGGGUGGGAGAAAGAACUCUCGUCUGUUUGAAGCAAGUGUGAAUGUUGCAAUUGGCCACCUUGAUUAGCAUUGAAUGGCCUUGCAGCUUCAAAGCCUGACUUAUUAUUAUCUGAAGAUGUUGCAUCUCAUGAAAUAGACUCUAUGAAAAUUUAUGCCACCAAUUUAUUUCUCUCAAUCCCAAAGCUGCUACAACGUCCCUUUCAACUUAAAAAAGACAUUAUUCUGGUCCCAUCAUAUAUGAGGGUUCUGUUUGUUAUUUUUUGGAUCUGUUAUUAAAUAAUUUAGGAUGAGAUUCAAUCUGUUUGUAAAUAGACCCUAGGGUUAGUCUUAUGUCAUCUAUUAUUAUGUAACACCGUCUUUGAAUUCAAACAUACAGUAGAGUCUCACUUAUCCAACAUAAACGGGCUGGCAGAAUGUUGGAUAAGCGAAUAUGUUGGAUAAUAAGGAGGCAUUAAGUAAAAGCCGAUUAAACAUCAAAUUAGGUUAUGAUUUUACAAAUGAAGCACCAAAACAACAUGUUAGACAACAAAUUUGGCAGAAA
rnacentral:lncRNA from 1 species